rnacentral:rRNA from 1 species
GACGAACGCUGGCGGCGUGCUUAACACAUGCAAGUCGAACGGAAAGGCCUUUUCGGAGGUACUCGAGUGGCGAACGGGGGAGUAACACGUGGGUGAUCUGCCCUGCACUCCGGGAUAAGCCUGGGAAACUGGGUCUAAUACCGGAUAGGACCGCACUUUAGUGUGUGUGGGGGAAAGUUUUUUCGGUGUAGGAUGAGCCCGCGGCCUAUCAGCUUGUUGGUGGGGUAAUGGCCUACCAAGGCGGCGACGGGUAGCCGGACUGAGAGGUUGGUCGGCCACAUUGGGACUGAGAUUCGGCCCAGACUCCUACGGGAGGCAGCAGUGGCGAAUAUUGCUCAAGGGGCGCAAGCCUGAUGCAGCGCCGCCGCGUGGGGGAUGACGGCCUUCGGGUUGUAAACGCCUUUCGCCAGGGACGAAGCGUUUUGUGACGGUACCUGGAGAAGAAGCACCGGCUAACUACGUG